rnacentral:rRNA from 1 species
CCUACGGGAGGCAGCAGUGAGGAAUAUUGGUCAAUGGACGAGAGUCUGAACCAGCCAAGUAGCGUGAAGGAUGACUGCCCUAUGGGUUGUAAACUUCUUUUAUAAAGGAAUAAAACGAGGCACGUGUGCCUUUUUGCGUGUACUUUAUGAAUAAGGAUCGGCUAACUCCGUGCCAGCAGCCGCGGUAAUACGGAGGAUCCGAGCGUUAUCCGGAUUUAUUGGGUUUAAAGGGUGCGUAGAUGGGUUGUCAAGUCAGGUGUGAAAGUUCGCGGCUCAACCGUAAAAUUGCAAUUGAUACUGGCAGUCUUGAGUACGGUUGGGGUAAGCGGAAGGCGUGGUGUAGCGGUGAAAUGCUUAGAUAUCACGAAGAACCCCGAUUGCGAAGGCAGCUUACUAACCUGUGACUGACAUUGAUGCACGAAAGUGUGGGUAUCAAACAGGAUUAGAUACCCUUGUAGUC